rfam:Neotoma lepida isolate 417 scaffold_136, whole genome shotgun sequence.
UGGGAUCAAAACCAAGGCACAUUGAAUUCCUCAUAGUAUCAUCUUUGGGUUACUCAGGAACCAAAACUUUUUACACCGAUUUAAGAAAUUCUGCUAAGGAAUCCCUUUACCUAACCAUCUCACAAGGCUUCAACCCAGAUCCAGAAAAGACCUCUUAAUACGUCAAGAUAGAACCUA